rnacentral:rRNA from 1 species
AGUGAACGCUGGCGGCGUGCCUAAUACAUGCAAGUCGAACGGAGUGGCGCACGGGUGAGUAAUGUAUAGCUAAUCUGCCCUACACUAGAGGACAACAGUUGGAAACGGCUGCUAAUACUAUAUAGUGUAGGUUGAGGCUAUAUUGUAUCAGCUAGUUGGUGAGGUAAUGGAGCACCAAGGCUAUGACGCAUAACUGGUCUGCGAGGAUGAUCAGUCGAACUGGAACUGAGACACGGUCCAGAAGCCUACGGGAGGCAGCAGUAGGGUAUAUUGCUCAAUGGGGGAAACCCUGAAGCAGCAACGGCGCGUGGAGGAUGACACUUUUCGGAGAGUAAACUCCUUUUGUUAGGGAAGCGGUACCUAACGAAUAAGCACCGGCUAACUCCGUGCCAGCAGCCGCGGUAAUAC